AAUAUGAAAAAUUUUAACAACCCAACAAUCGAUUGCACACGUGUAUGUAUGCACAUCUUUACAUUUGAGCAUACUGGCAAACGCAAGCAUGUUCUGCAAAUCGUUUUCGGGCAAUUUUUUCACAUUUUCCGUUCUUAAAUCGUUUUGUCGCCUUGUUCUGGAAAUCGGAAUCGUUACAAUUUUCCCGUUUCAUAUUCGGCAAGUUAAACGAUAGCGAUUUUAAAUUAAAAUCAAGGGUUCAUUCAAAGAAUGUGUUACCAGGAUUUGUGGAAUUCUCGCGGCCUUUGAGCGCUUUCAAGAUUCUCGAAGUUUUGGGGCAGAACGAACGUCCACAGACAAGCAGAGAAAUCGUGGUUACGCCAGUACCAGCAAUCGCCCUACGUAUUUCCGAAACUCAAAAAGAAAUUUAGAAUUCACUCAUAUAAUCAUCACAUCACCCUAUAUUCCAAAUUUUUGCACAAAGUGAAGUCCACUUAUGACACAAAAUAUUAAUCAAUGUAGAUAAAAAUGUUGAUGCUGUGCUUCUACCCAAUAUCGACAUCCUGCCCAACUGAACAUUGAAACGAACUUUCAGCAAGAAACCUAAGACUAGUUGCCAAUUUUAUUAAAUUACGUAUUGACGUUUCUCUGACUAAAUGUAUGAUUUUGUUUAGUAUUUCUUAAAAUACAUGCUUACUUAAGCUGGAGACAAACCUGAAGCAAAAAGAAACUAUCACAAAUCGAAAAGUGGAAAGCUUUUAGCAAUACUCACGUGGAAUCCGAUGCAGUCAAGGGAAUACAAUGGUCGCUCAAAUGCCAUCUUUCGAUUUUACCUCGAUAAUUAGUACACGUUCGUUCAACACAUAAUCGGCCAUAAAAACAUUGUUUUUAUGAAUAAAAAAUACCUAAUUAAAAAUUUUGAACCAACGAAUUAUAUUUUAUUUGUUUUGUUAAACUGUAUCAAAGAAAUCAGAUGUUUCAAAUUUAAAUUCUAAAUCAAACGAAAUCGAAGGAAUCGCAAAACGCCUAUAAAAUAUCGUACGACUUGUCAAUUCGGAUCCGAAUUGAAAUCGCGUGAUUUUCAGAACAUGCUAGUGUAUUUAGAUUUUGGAAAUCGAAAGAAUUUCCUAAAUGUAGUUUCUUAAUACAAAAAUAUUAAAAAUCCUUAUUAUAUUAUAUAUUAAAAAGAUUGCGCCUGCGUGUGUAGCUGGAAGAUAAGCAUUUUGUUAGACAUUCUUGUAAAGUUACAACUAUUAAUGCAUUACUUAUCGAAGCGGGAUUGUACGCAUAGACUUUAGACUAUACACAUCCCCACAGAAAACAGUCUAACAGUAUGAUAUCACACGAUCUGGCUAACUAAACAACCAGCUCAAAACGUGAAAUUAUCUUCUCGCCGAAUUGUUCUCUCAAUAAAUCUAUUGAAUGGUGCGAUGUGUGGGAACUGGCACCGUCUUGUUGAAACCAAAUGUCGUCGAGAUCACGACCUUCAAUUUCAGCCAUCAAAUAGUCGGUUAUCAUGGCGUGAUAACGGUCGCCAUUGACGGUUACCAUACCAAACCUUUUUCUUUGUGGAUGAAAUGGCAGCUCUUGCAUCUCUUCAGUUUGUCCUUCGCGCUAAAUGCGGCAAUUUCGCUUGUUUACAGACCCAUUGAGCCAGAAAUGGGCCUAAUCGCUGAACAGAAUUUGCUUCGAAAACGUUAGAUCGUUUUGGAACAUUUCAAGACCCCAUAGAGCGAAAACCAUCGUUUCGUUUCAGUUCUCGCGCAAGCAGUAUUUUGUACGCUUUCAAUCUAAGAUCUCGACGUAAAAUGUGUCAAGUCGUUCCAUACAUCAGCCCGAGUUACUGCGAACGGCGCCGAAUCGACGCUUUACGACCUUCUUGUACACUCUCAGCUACGGAUGCUAUAUUUUCUUCACUGCAUGCUGAACCAUUGAAAAGAGUAGCUCGACUUGGAUCACCCGUUAUUAAUGCAUACUUAUCUUCCUCAUCUCGUUAUCAACUGCAUACCAAACAGUCUCUAAAUUAAUAAAUUAAAAUAAUAAAGAUUUCACCACAGUUGUGUCGCCAUUAGCGAUUUGAGACUGUUCGCUGUAUAGCGGCAGCGUAGAAUUGUGCGCUGUUCAAAUCGAUGUACACCACAUUUACCCAUUGUUCUACUCAAUCCACAAAAUUAAAUGUUAAUACACUGUUAUACUAAUCAUUUUAGUAUAUGGUUAAAAAUAAAUCUUCUAAAAUAUCAAAAUAGUAUACAUAUAAAGUUAUCGAACUUGUAUUUUGCAUAAGUAUAUUACAUAAAAAUGUAACUUUUUUUUGUAAAAUUAACAAAAAUUAUGAUCUCGCCUAAUAUUUCAAUCAAUGGUAUAAUGGAAAGAAGUUGAUGAGUAAAACAAUAGUUUUAAAAAUAUUAACAAAAAAAUUUAAUUUUUGUUUUUUUAGUAACUGUAAUUUUAAUAAAAAAUAUAAAUGCAUUAGUGUUAAUAUGCGUAAAAAUAAUUUAACUAUAUUUAACGCUGCACGUAAGAUUUAACUGUAAUAAAAGCUACUGCAUUUGCGUACUAAUUAUGACGAAUGGCAGCAACUUACCUUGAUGUGACGUUAUUAUAAAUGCUGAUAAGUCAUAGUAAAAUAUCUGGAAUUUAGUAUAUAACUUAUGUUGGUAACGAAACUGUAUUUGUCGCUUGCUGUAAUAAUGUUAAAAUUUACUUUAUUGUUAAUAAUUAACAAGUAUUCGAAGUCCACAUAUUUUUUUAAAGCAAACUAAUAAAUUUAUCAACAAUAAUCAUUUUUAUCAGUUUAUAAUAAAAGCAAAACAUUAACACAAAAUAAUUGCACACAGCAUUAAAAUAGGUUAUGUCAGAUCACGGGAUAGAUCUUCACAACUGCAGCAAGUAUCACUUAGACCGCUUCAACUGUGCUUUGUAACAAAUACUCCAAACAUUGCUGACAGAUCGCCAAGACCCUUAUGAGUGGACAAAGCGCUUUGUCCUCUAUUAUAAAGUACUUAAGUCGGCAAAUGUCGAUUGCAGUCAAUUCGUUGAGUUCGCCGAAGUUGUGCCUACCGCGGUGUUUUAACCUUUGGCAGAAAGAUCUCGCUACUGCCUCACCCGACCUCACCCCGAUGUCAAUGUUGCUACUCUGCCGCUGGUCCGCUUGGCAGUUUUCGGAAUUGCAAAGUAGUUCCAAGCUACUGAUAAAGAUGUUGGGCACGCCCUUACUAGCUUAGAGCACUGUAAAUAUUUUCGCGUAAUCUAUAUCCAAAUAUUGGAAAUCAGGUUACAACUUUUCAAGGGCUCAGAUACCGAUACCGUAGUUCAACCUUCUACUGAAAAUAUUGGUGCUAAUAUUAAUGAGAUUCCGAUAAUGUUGUUUCAAUCAUUAAUUUAUUCAGGCUAUCGUUUUCACAGGGAAAAGGAUUAAUAAUCUUUCGUUAUUACAAUCAUUUUGAGUUACAUACAUAUAUAAUCAUAUGACUUUUUCGUUUAGUUUCACUAUUUUAUAUGCCAGCGCUUCUCCCAAUGGUCGAAGCAUUUCUUAAACUCGAUUUUUGGCGUAGCCUUUAACUCUUUCAUCUAUGAUUCAUAUUUAUUCAUUUUCACAAAGUGAAUAUGUGAAUUUGCGCCACUCUUCCGUUAUUAUGGUUUUCUGGGUUCCUUGAUAUUUAGAACACCGUUUAGAUUUUACUUUAAAUGUAUUCACAAAUUUUCGAUUCGGUUAGGUUGUGGGUUUUUACCCACAUUUAUAGAACAGCCACAUCUUCACAGUAUGAGCCUUAUAUUGCGGUCCAACCCCCUGCGUUAAAUGCAGACUCACACAAUGACAGAUAUUCACCAGACUUAAUAGUUGAAGUAAUCUUUAGUUUUUCCAACACUUUUAACAGCUUCCGUCAUACUCUGUCUAUUAUACGUUUUCGCAUCUCCAGAUCAAAUAUUUUACACGGCCAUCCUCUAGGCUUUGAUUGUUUGCACGUUUUAAAAUUUUACAAAUUGUGCGUAGUUAAGCAAACCAUGAUAACUGUUCGACACUUUCACCGAUCUGGUAUCUGGUAAUUAUACACCAACUGUGACACAUCAAAUGUGGUUCUUUUGUCAGGUAUUUCUUUAGUUCGACUUUUUGCACUGUGUAAAUGUGCCCAUAUUCUUCUUAUUUCACUGUGAAAGGGUGUUGGGGAUAUAUGUAUAUACAUAUGUACAUGCAAUUGAAAUUCAUUGAUACAUAUAUUUCGCACCCGCAGAAGUCUUUUAAUGUAAAAUUAACCCCCUUUAAUUCAAUUAUGGCAGGUUGAUUAUAGGUUAAAAAAUUUAGAAACAAAUUAUUGGGUGACAACGCCGGCACAACUGCUAUUUAUGGAAUCUUAACAUAUGAAAAUUCUUCUGGGAUUUGAUGGAUUGGAAAAUGUAUUCGAUAAGUACAAAAGAAAACGUGUGCUCGUGGGGGUGCGUAAACGGUAGCAAUGAGUUAGGCUAGUGAGACGGGGUGGUUUACUCUUUUCGUUUUGUCAGCAAGACCGUAAAUAUCAUGUAACUAUAUAUCUAAUAAUAAUAACAACAAAAGUUUCCCUUGUGAAUUAUUAUUUUAAGAAAUCGGAUCGCUUGUUUGUGACGCACGAAGGCAUCAUUUGUACGCUAAUUAGAAAAUAAGCUAUAAUUUGUAUGGGUUCCUUUGAGGUUUAGCAUUAGUAAUCCACCAAUAAUAUAUGAUAA